CAACACUGAGAACCUGGGCAUCUGCCCAGGGGAUGUCAUUUAACAGGAAGAGACAUCCUUACAUGGUCUUGGUCUUGGGGAAAAUGACAGUUAAAGUCCUAAGGGCUGUGAGUUGUUCUGGGAUCUGGCUUCUCUAGGAACAUGACCAUCCGCCAUGACGGAUUCCUGGUAUUAGUUCUUUACCUCACCCAGUGCCCAUCAAUUCUGUACUUCUCUUUCACAACAAUGAAGAGAAUGACUGAGUGGUCAGGGUCACAACAUGGAGGUCCAGGGAGAGCUGGAGUCCCAUGGGAGGAAGAUGUCCCUUUGAGGAUCAGCUUUAGGGACACUAGUCUGUGUGCGGAGCCCCUAUUAAAGCUGCCUGUGCAGAUCUAGAGAUUAACGUGGUUUUUGCUUGUUUUUCUCUUGGCCCUCAGGAGAAGCAGAAGUUUUUGGGUCAGAAUUAUUACAAGGAGGGACCGGAGGGCAAUGACAUCCGAAAGACAAAUGUUGCACAGAUCCGGAUGGCUUUCCGCUACGAGACCCUGUGUAACGAGCUCAGCUUUCUGUCCGAUGCCAUGAAGUCAGAGGAGAUCACAGCCCUGGCCGACUAGGCCCAGCGAUCCACAC
rnacentral:lncRNA from 1 species